CCUCUCCUCUCUCUCUCCCUCUGUUUCCCUCUCUUUCUUCUCUGGCACCAACGUGUGCCGUUUUCUCCAUCGGAACCAUUUCGGUUCCCUGCCGGUAUGAUUUGGUACGUUCCAAACUGACCGGUUCGGAACAGUUCCGAAAAUUAUUUGUAAACAUUAUAGAAUCUAAGGCCGGACCAGCAGAAGAUCCAAACUUACAUCUGGUAGAAAUAAGCAAAUCAGUACCUUCCUUCGUUCCCCUUAAU
rnacentral:lncRNA from 1 species